AAUGGGCGAAAGCCUGACCGAGCAACGCCGCGUGAAUGAUGAAGGCCUUCGGGUUGUAAAAUUCUGUUAUAAGGGAAGAACGACUUUAGUAGGAAAUGGCUAGAGUGUGACGGUACCUUAUGAGAAAGCCACGGCUAACUACGUGCCAGCAGCCGCGGUAAUACGUAGGUGGCGAGCGUUAUCCGGAAUUAUUGGGCGUAAAGAGCGCGCAGGUGGUUGAUUAAGUCUGAUGUGAAAGCCCACGGCUUAACCGUGGAGGGUCAUUGGAAACUGGUCGACUUGAGUGCAGAAGAGGGAAGUGGAAUUCCAUGUGUAGCGGUGAAAUGCGUAGAGAUAUGGAGGAACACCAGUGGCGAAGGCGGCUUCCUGGUCUGUAACUGACACUGAGGCGCGAAAGCGUGGGGAGCAAA
rnacentral:rRNA from 1 species